rnacentral:rRNA from 1 species
UACGGAGGGGGCUAGCGUUGCUCGGAAUCACUGGGCGUAAAGGGUGCGUAGGCGGUUUGGUAAGUGGGAUGUGAAAUGCCUCGGACUCGACCCCGAGGACCGGCCAUCCCAAACUGACCAAGCUUGAGUAUGGGAGAGGAUGUGGGAAUUCCUGGUGUAGCGGUGAAAUGCGUAGAUAUCAGGAGGAACACCGGUGGCGAAGGCGGUCUCUGGGCCUUACCUGACGCUGAGGAGCGAAAGCGUGGGGAGCAAACAGG